AGCUCAUGACCCAUAACGUAAAAAAACACAGACAGAGGACUAUUUUACGGGUGGAUUCUACAGAAAAAAAAAAUGGAGCAGUAGCAGAAAGUGGGUCAUCAGAAGCAGUUUUACAACACCCUAUUUCUUCUUCUUCUUCUUCUUCUUCUUCUUCUUCCACACAAAGCUGUGCAAAACUGAUCAACAAGAAGA
rnacentral:ribozyme from 14 species